GACGAACGCUGGCGGCGUGCCUAAUACAUGCAAGUUGAGCGCUGAAGGUUGGUACUUGUGCCAACUGGAUGAGCAGCGCACGGGUGAGUAACGCGUGGGGAAUCUGCCUUUGAGCGGGGGACAACAUGUGGAAACGAAUGCUAAUACCGCAUAAAAACUUUAAACACAAGUUUUAAGUUUGAAAGAUGCAAUUGCAUCACUCAAAGAUGAUCCCGCGUUUUAUUAGCUAGUUGGUGAGGUAAAGGCUCACCAAGGCGAUGCUACAUAGCCGACCUGAGAGGGUGAGCGGCCACAUUGGGACGGAGACACGGCCCAAACUCCUACGGGAGGCAGCAGUAGGGAAUCUUCGGCAAUGGACGAAAGUCUGACCGAGCAACGCCGCGUGAGUGAAGAAGGUUUUCGGAUCGUAAAACUCGGUUGGUAGAGAAGAACGUUGGUGAGAGUGGAAAGCUCAUCAAGUGACGGUAACUACUCAGAAAGGGACGGCUAACUACGUG
rnacentral:rRNA from 1 species